CAGAGCACAGCUAAGAUAGCAAAGCCCCUCCCUUACACCGAGAAGUCAUCCGUGCAAGUCGGAUUGCCCUGA
rnacentral:tRNA from 1 species